rnacentral:rRNA from 1 species
AGAAUCAACGCUGGCGGCGUGCCUAACACAUGCAAGUCGAUCGAGAAAGUGGAGCAAUCCAUGAGUAAAGAGGCGCACGGGUGAGUAACACGUGACUAACCUACCCUCGAGUGGGGAAUAACCUGGGGAAACCCGGGCUAAUACCGCAUAAUACCCACGGGUCAAAGGAGCAAUUCGCUUGAGGAGGGGUCGCGGCAGAUUAGUUAGUUGGCGGGGUAAUGGCCCACCAAGACGAUGAUCUGUAUCCGGCCUGAGAGGGCGCGCGGACACACUGGAACUGAAACACGGUCCAGACUCCUACGGGAGGCAGCAGUGGGGAAUUUUGCGCAAUGGGGGAAACCCUGACGCAGCAACGCCGCGUGGAGGAUGAAGUCCCUUGGGACGUAAACUCCUUUCGACCGGGACGAUAAUGACGGUACCGGAUGAAGAAGCCCCGGCUAACUUCGCGCCAGCAGCCGC